AAAUUGAAGAGUUUGAUCAUGGCUCAGAUUGAACGCUGGCGGCAGGCCUAACACAUGCAAGUCGAACGGUAACAGGAAGCAGCUUGCUGCUUUGCUGACGAGUGGCGGACGGGUGAGUAAUGUCUGGGAAACUGCCUGAUGGAGGGGGAUAACUACUGGAAACGGUGGCUAAUACCGCAUAACGUCGCAAGACCAAAGAGGGGGACCUUCGGGCCUCUUGCCAUCAGAUGUGCCCAGAUGGGAUUAGCUUGUUGGUGAGGUAACGGCUCACCAAGGCGACGAUCCCUAGCUGGUCUGAGAGGAUGACCAGCCACACUGGAACUGAGACACGGUCCAGACUCCUACGGGAGGCAGCAGUGGGGAAUAUUGCACAAUGGGCGCAAGCCUGAUGCAGCCA
rnacentral:rRNA from 2 species